GGAAUAUAAGAACCCGUCUCUUAACUUUUAACUAAAAAAACUAAGAAUCGGUUCUUAAAUAAGAGUUUUAAGAGCCGGUUCUUAAUUUUUUUAGUUAAAAAUUAAGAGACGAGUUCUUAUAUUCC
rnacentral:pre_miRNA from 1 species